rnacentral:rRNA from 1 species
GACGAACGCUGGCGGCGUGCUUAACACAUGCAAGUCGAACGGAAAGGCCCUGCUUGCAUGGUGCUCUAGUGUCGAACGGGUGAGUAACACAUGUGUGUUCUGCCCUCCACUUCGGGAUAUGCCUUGGAAACUGUGUCUCUUACCGCGUAGGGGCCCUCUUUCGUCUUAUUGUUGGAAAGAUUUUUCGGUGUAGGAUGGGCUCGCGGCCUAUCAGCUUGCUGGUGGGGUAAUGGCCUACCAAGGCGGCGACGGGUAGCCGGCCUGAGAGGGUGGACGGCCACAUUGGGGCUGGGAUACGGCCCAGACUCCUACGGGGGGCAGCAGUGGGGAAUAUUGCACAAUGGGCGCAAGCCUGAUGCAGCGAAGCCGCGUGGGGGGUGACGGCCUUCGGGUUGUAAACUCCUUUCGCUAGGGACGAAGCUUUUUGUGACGGUACCUAGAUAAGAAGCACCGGCUAACUACGUG